UGUGCUUCGUUUUUGAACUCAAGUAAUCUUGCAUUUUGUUCCCACGCAGGUUUCUACCUGAGGCUUUGUUUACCUUGCUGAGUUCUGACUUUGUUCCAGUGUAUCUCUGAGUAUCUGGAUUAUCAGCUCCUGAGUUAAGGAACUACCUUCUUGUGGAUUUCUCUCACUUUCGGACACGGACCAAGCUGGCGGCUUCCUGUUUCCCUUGACUCCAGGACCCAGGCAUCAGCACCCCCUGCUUCUUCCUCCAUCUUGAACAUCGGCACCUGAGCUCCUUUUGGCUGGCACCAAGCUCACCACAGAGAAGACAACUGAACAAUCCUCCUUUGCAAGUUAAGACUGAAUCUCUCUACCCCUGGCGGUUCUUGCUCCAACAAUUUGUUGGUGUUCCCAGUUCCUGUCCUAGACUACUUUGUUGACAAUAAAAACCGUAAAACUUU